rnacentral:rRNA from 1 species
GACAGAGGGUGCAAACGUUGUUCGGAAUUACUGGGCGUAAAGCGCGUGUAGGCGGCCCUUGCAAGUCGGAUGUGAAAUCCCACGGCUCAACCGUGGAAGUGCAUUCGGAAACUGCGAGGGCUAGAGUCCUGGAGAGGAAGGUGGAAGUGCUUGGUGUAGAGGUGAAAUUCGUAGAUAUCAAGCGGAACACCGGUGGCGUAAGGCGGCC